UGUGAACGUUACCAAACUGUUGCCUCGGCGGGAUCUCUGCCCCGGGUGCGUCGCAGCCCCGGACCAAGGCGCCCGCCGGAGGACCAACCAAAACUCUUAUUGUAUACCCCCUCGCGGGUUUUUUUAUAAUCUGAGCCUUCUCGGCGCCUCUCGUAGGCGUUUCGAAAAUGAAUCAAAACUUUCAACAACGGAUCUCUUGGUUCUGGCAUCGAUGAAGAACGCAGCGAAAUGCGAUAAGUAAUGUGAAUUGCAGAAUUCAGUGAAUCAUCGAAUCUUUGAACGCACAUUGCGCCCGCCAGUAUUCUGGCGGGCAUGCCUGUCCGAGCGUCAUUUCAACCCUCGAACCCCUCCGGGGGGUCGGCGUUGGGGAUCGGCCCUGCCUUGGCGGUGGCCGUCUCCGAAAUACAGUGGCGGUCUCGCCGCAGCCUCUCCUGCGCAGUAGUUUGCACACUCGCAUCGGGAGCGCGGCGCGUCCACAGCCGUUAAACACCCAACUUCUGAAAUGUUGACCUCGGAUCAGGUAGGAAUACCCGCUGAACUUAAGCAUAUCAAUAAGCGGAGGAAAAGAAACCAACAGGGAUUGCCCCAGUAACGGCGAGUGAAGCGGCAACAGCUCAAAUUUGAAAUCUGGUCCCUAGGGCCCGAGUUGUAAUUUGUAGAGGAUGCUUUUGGUGAGGUGCCGCCCGAGUUCCCUGGAACGGGACGCCACAGAGGGUGAGAGCCCCGUCUGGCUGGCCGCCGAGCCUCUGUAAAGCUCCUUCGACGAGUCGAGUAGUUUGGGAAUGCUGCUCAAAAUGGGAGGUAUAUGUCUUCUAAAGCUAAAUAUUGGCCAGAGACCGAUAGCGCACAAGUAGAGUGAUCGAAAGAUGAAAAGCACCUUGAAAAGAGGGUUAAAUAGUACGUGAAAUUGUUGAAAGGGAAGCGCUUGUGACCAGACUUGGGCGCGGCGGAUCAUCCGGGGUUCUCUCCGGUGCACUUCGCCGCGUCUAGGCCAGCAUCAGUUCGUCGCGGGGGAAAAAGGCUUCGGGAACGUGGCUCCUCCCGGGAGUGUUAAAGCCCGUUGCUUAAUACCCUGCGGUGGACUGAGGACCGCCAUCUGC
rnacentral:sRNA from 1 species